ensembl:lncRNA
GCGGCAGCUGGCUCUCAGGGGCAUGCAGGGAUGCUACCAGGAUGCUUGGCCGAUCUGUCUCUGAGAAUGUACCAGCCGCACAGAAGAGAAAUUAUAAAGAGGAAUUAUAAAACACCUUGGAGCAGAAGGAGGCAGAAACAUGCAGAGCAAAAGCUUCCUGGACGGCAAAAAGCAUCAUCGUCUCCUCCUCUCACCGAGGUGCUGGGGCGUUUCCUUCAGUUGCACCCGAGCAGCAGUUCAGAAGACACCACACAAGUGCAAAUGAUGGGAGGUGCAACUGCAGGAUCUGCCGACAAAUCUGAGACAUCAAUAGCUGUGGAGAUGUGACAGCAGAGGCUUCAGCACGGGCAGGACAAACCUGCUGGGAAACGCUAAGCGAUACGCAGCCAGCCCCUGAUUUGCAAGACCCAGCUGCACACCGAUACUCACACCUGUAUCUAAAGAAUAUGGCACCACCUCGGGACGCGUUGAAAGGCAUUUCAUUCAUACAGCUCUGGCUUGCAAACAACUGAGGAUGCUCUGCACACCUGGCUGAUGCCUUGUGGCUGCUCCCUUCGGCUUGGCGGAGCUGAGGCACCAGGUAACCACCUCGCUGCUUGUCAUCCAUCUCACGUACAGCGACAGGCAGCCACGAUCCUCUCCCAGAUGUCCCCCGCCACUUCCCAGAGAUAGAAUUCAGGAAACAUUCGGGAAUGCUGCCUUAGCACAACACUGGUAACUCCGAAAAACGCUGUCCUCCACCGAACUGUGGGAGCAUGGCAAGCACAGGGCAGGCAGGCACUGCACCUGCAUGUAUAUACGUAUCAAUAAACCUCGGGGAGCUGCACAUGGACUGCUGUAUGCCUUGCCAGGACCCCACGCACUACGCUACAUAAGGCAGGCUGACUCAGAAUAGAGGCAGCUGUGGCAAGGGGAAACGUGACCCAUACACCGGGGUGAUGGGUCCAAGAGGCAGAUUGUUUCUUUAUUCUUCCUCUCACUUUCUCCAUAAAUCUAGCCAGGAGCUAAGCAGGUGUUUGGUGUUAAAGCCAUCAGCCAGCAAGGAGACAGAAAAUAAUGCAUCCUCCCGUGCUUCAAAGCAAGAUCUGUAUCACCUUGCUGCAAACAGUCAAAAGCUUCCUGAGCAGGAGCACCUUCGUGAGGAGCAGGAGCUGCUGCCUGUCCUCCCAGCUGCACACACACACCAACAGUACCCACCAGAUGCAGUGCCUGGGCUAGGAGCCACACCAGGUUCACCUGCACAGCACAGGUCCAUACCCAGCUCAGGACUCCAUUCCUUCUUCUGCAAAACACACACAGAGCUGCUGUUAUGCAUCACCUUGAAGGGAAGCUGCGUUUGCCAGCACCCCAGACUCACCUGUGUGCUACAUGGCACUAGCUCCGCAUGCCGUGAGGAGACAGAGGCAUCUCCACCCUCGGCUCCUGGCAUGGCCAGGCCAGGAGAACGUCGUCCAAAGGAGGCUGGAAGCGGCUGCCCGAUUACCCAGAGAAGCCACCAGCAUGUGUUGCUGCAGCCACCCCCGGUGAGGCAGCUCUGGUGCUUGGAAGUCAGGGUGCAGACCCCGUGAGCACCCAUUAACCACCCUUUGGGUCAUAAUCCUUUCAGGGGAGACUCAGGAGGCUGGAGGUGGGGGUGGCGGCUGCCCACCAAGUGUUCCCCGCAGCCCUGGCAUGAGAGAUCUGCAAAGUCUUGAGUGUCUCAUUGCAGGACGAAACCCCACAGCCCUCUUUCCACAGAUAUGUGUAAUAUCAGCUCAGGGCCUGCAUUGUUUAGUUCUGCAGCCUGCGUGGUGGUCUUACUCUGCAAAUUAUCCAGCGUUACGGGCUGAAUAAACUCAGCCUAUGUCAAUCA